rnacentral:rRNA from 1 species
AACGAACGCUGGCGGCGUGCCUAACACAUGCAAGUCGUGCGAGAAAGUUCCUUCGGGAGCGAGUAAAGCGGCGCACGGGUGAGUAACACGUAGGUAACCUGCCCCCCAGUCUGGAACAACUAGAGGAAACUCUAGCUAAUGCCGGAUGAGACCACGAUCCCUUCGGGGGUUGCGGCCAAAGAUGGCCUCUACUUGUAAGCUAUCGCUGAGGGAUGGGCCUGCGGGCCAUUAGCUUGUUGGUGAGGUAACGGCUCACCAAGGCUGUGAUGGCUAGCUGGUCUGAGAGGAUGACCAGCCACACUGGGACUGAGACACGGCCCAGACUCCUACGGGAGGCAGCAGUGGGGAAUAUUGCGCAAUGGGCGAAAGCCUGACGCAGCGACGCCGCGUGGGUGAUGAAGGCCUUCGGUGUAAAGCUCUUUAUUGGGGAAGAUUAUAGACGGUACCCAAGGAGUAAGCUCCGGCUAACUUCGUGCCAGCAGCCGCGGUAA